rnacentral:lncRNA from 1 species
CCCUUCUGCAGCGGCUGGCUUCCAGACACCCUGCGUCCCUCCCUUGCUCGCAGCAGUUGCUGUGGCGGUCCUCCCGUGCACCCCCCCUUCUGCCCUCACUGCCCCUGGGGGUCCUCAUCACGGACCCCCUAACUCGGCAUCCUGGACACCACCACCCCGCACCUUUCCACAGUGCAGCUCUGCUCGUGCCUGUGAAGCCUCCCACAGCCUGGGAAGGAAAAUCCAGACUUGCCAGACCUUGCCUCAGCCAGGCCUUGGAAGCCUGCCAGCUUACCUAACCAGGCUAGUCUGCCCCCCUCACUCUGGGUGCUCUCCAUGGGCCACUCACCAUUUCCUGAGCAGGACCAGAGCUCUCCUGCCCCAAGGCUGGGCUUCAGCUGCUCUUUCAGCUUUGAACGUCCUUUCCCAUUCUCCAUCAUCCACAUUCACCUAUCCUGCCUGCCCCAGUUAAAAUCCUGUUUCUUCUAGGAAGUCCCUCAUCCCACCCGCUUACCCCAGGGAGACUGAGCUUGUUCCUUCUCCUAGUAAGACCCUCAGCCCAUGGAGUCCUGUGUGAUGUUGUGAGCGUGGGAGGACAGACUGAACUGCUCGGCCCGUGGAGUCCUGUGUGAUGUUGUGAGCGGGGAGGACAGACUGAACUGCGUGGUGCUUCGCACAUAGACCUCAACAGGGAUUGGCAUUUUGAAGCUGUUGGCGGGGGCUGUGGACUGCUUUUCUUCCUUUCUAGCUCAACGGCAGCUAAAGCCACUGCAUACAAUGCAAGGACUGGCUCCUGUUUGGCCACGACUGAUUGCAGCCCCUGGUGAAAUGAGAACCCUGUGGGUCGGAACAAAGUUUGGAUUAUUUAUGUUGCAAGUAACUAAAAUCUCAAGUGAAACUGGUUUAAACA